rnacentral:rRNA from 1 species
UACGUAGGGGGCGAGCGUUGUCCGGGUUUAUUGGGCGUAAAGAGCUCGUAGGCGGUUUGGUAAGUCGGGUGUGAAAUCUCCACGCUCAACGUGGAGGGGCCACUCGAUACUGCCAUGACUCGAGUCCGGUAGAGGAGUGUGGAAUUCCCGGUGUAGCGGUGAAAUGCGCAGAUAUCGGGAGGAACACCCGUAGCGAAGGCGGCACUCUGGGCCGGAACUGACGCUGAGGAGCGAAAGCGUGGGGAGCAAACAGG